AUGCCUACACGUGUGUCCAAACCCACAGGAUGUACAACACCAAGAGUGAACCCUAAUGCGAACUAUGAGUGAUUGUGAUGUAGUAAGAGCCACCGGUUUUUCAUACGUCCUUCACUGCUCCCACCAAGUGUCACCAGCGCACGUCUCUGAUGGAGGGCUUGACAGGACAAGGCUGGGCCUGUGGCGAAGCAUGGCGGUAAAGCGAUCCCUUCACUCAACAACUCUGACUCUGUUGCAUAUUGGAAAGAUUGGCCCAUGGCUAGCGGGCAUGUUUGGGGGGAACGUGGCACCGUGUAACUCCGAAGGACGUCAGCCCCUGACAGCCUGUGUGAAUGCUGUCCUUGGGAGUCCUGCUCCCAAGCGUGUUUACUAAGAAGCACUAGGAUAGCAGGAGGACCCAGGUCACUAGCUUAUGCGACCGGAAUGGAAUGCUCGGGCGCUGGCUGCCUUACUGUACUCAUUUCAUCCACAGUGUGACUGUUACCGGAGGGGAGCAACGUUCUUCUGGAAACAUCACCCAGUGGGUCCCUGCGCCCAUCGACCCCUCACUCCUCACUCUAGAGAGCGGACUCUGUGCCUGCCGGCUUCCUAGCCAGUCCCGUGGAGUGCUCACCCCGGACGCAGCGCUGAGCGGGACAGCUUUCCUGCCCUCAGCGCGGCCACAGUCAGGGCCACCUUAACCAUAAACGCAACCCAGUGCAUUAAACCAAAUGGGGCUAAAAGUGGAGCAUUCGGUGCUCAGGGGAUCCUUCCGGGGCUGCAGAGGCAGGCUCUGGGCUGAGCGCUCAGGGUGGCUGGGGCUCUGCUGAGCCCGGAAAAAGAGGACAAAUCAGGAAGCGGCCACCGCUGCUGCCGCUCCCAGGACCUGCUCCUUCUGCCGGGGUCAGGAAGCCCCCGCGACUGCAGAGUCUGCAGAAUCCGGCCACCACCCACGGAACAAAGAAGGCUCCCGCGGGAUCCGGGACGCCACCCCGGCAGCUGUGACCUCAAGGUCCCGCAGCAAAGCGUGUACUCCGCUUCCUGCGCUUGGUCUCACAGAAAGCCCUCUGGUUGGUGGGACUUCCAUCACCACCAAAACUCAGUUGCAAGGGAGUCUGGGAAAUGUAGUUUUUAGCAUUGUGACCGCUACAAGAGCAGAGAGCACUGCAGCGGAGGGCCAGGGGGUACAACCGUUCUACCCACCGCUGUCAGGUCUCUUUAUUCCCUUCCAAAAGCAUGCGGGUCUCCCGUCACACAACCUGUAUAGCAGAAGCUCCACAGGGCUGUCCAGUGCCUUCUCAGCAGAAGAAAGGGGCUCUCUGUCUAGACCCACAGGAAGGCAUGGCAACAGAAGGCCAUGUCUGGAAAGCAGGGGUGAAAAAAGGAUGGCAGAGAGCACUGACCACAGUUUGUGACUUCAAACUUUCUGUAUAACACGGAUGAAGAGAAAGACUCAAAAUCCAACGUUGUCGUGAGCCAAGUGACUGACAUGAGGGAUGGAGUGUUUUCUGUCAGUUCUGUCUGGCCUUCCGAUUUUAUUCCUGUAAGGAGAGAGGAAGUGCCCCGCAUCGUUAAAGUAAACACGCAUGCUGCCAUCGGAUCUCUCGACUGUGCAUCUGGUUUCACUCCCUUCCUGCCUGUUGUCUAUAGGGGGCAAACCUCCUUGUGCUGCUCAAGGUCACUGGAGGCUGGGAUUUCAGAAGUGCUGGGGAACCACGGCCCCUUUCCUACCUUCCACCUGCCACAAAAAACCUAUCCCCCUAUUUCUAUUCGGGGUUAAUGUAAAGAGCUUUUUACAUAAGCCACAGUCUUUUCAUCCUACAGUUAAAUCUGUGCCUUAAAACGCAAAUGUUCCCGGGGGGCCCAUUCAUUCUAUUGGAAGGUAACAGGACAGAUGCAGGUUUAUAGCUGAAAACAGAAGCUUACAAAGCAGGGUGGUAUUGAGAGUGUGAGCGAAGAGGGAAAGAAUAGUGACAGAAAGAAGGAUGACCCUGACCUUCAAGGUCAUCGUGACCAACAACAGUUCAUCGUGCAGUAGCAUGAAUGCAUGGCUUCUGAAACCAGAGGCACUUUGUAAGAUAGUUUCCUCUGAGGCAACCUUUUGAAGUCAAUUCAAAUUCAAACCAAGAGUACAAAAUUAAAAAAAUCAAGGAGGAAUGCGUUUUUGCAAUCUCUUAAAAAAUAAACACCCUGCUGCUUAAAAUUCAUAUAAAAAAUUCAAGUGAUUCUGGAAGUGAUUCUUUACCUAUAAAGUGACAGCGGAAGCAAAGGCCUGCUGUCCUCUUGUGACCCCAGUGGUUACAGUCAGCCCGUGACUCUUGUAGUUAACAAAGGCUGCACAAAGAUGUUCCUAGUUCCUUCGUCGGGGGGUAGAAAUCUAUCUAGACUCUACCCAGCCACCCGGAAACCCUACAAACACCUGAUAGUUGGGCACUGACCUAUGAUGUGGGAAUUAUGCCACUGCUGCUUAAUUAAUGCUUACAAAGGAAAUUCUACCUAUAAGUUUUGAGUUCUGCUAGGCUAAGUAUACAUUUUUAAAUUUAAAUUUUCCUUGCCAUUUGCUGGUAAUGAUGUAAGUCAUGGGCACAUAGCAGCCAGGAAAGCAAAGUACUUCUGAGUAUUUGUGACUUAACAACAAAGGAUCCCUGAAUGCUGCAUAAUGUCAACAUUGAUUAUGAUGACUGCAAUUAAGACCCAUUGCCUGAUUGCAAUUAAGACACUUAUCAAAAGGUGCAAAGCUGUGUCUAGAAUCGAAGAAGCAGAGAGGCUCAGAGCCGGGGUUCUGGCAGCAGACUGCCCGCAAUUUCCCCUGCUGGGCCUGUCUUCUCACCUGUGAAAUGGACAGAAGGGUGGUGUCUACCUGCUGAGUUUUCCGUGGGGAUUAAAUCAAUUAACAUAUGUUCGUUUCUUCGAGCAGUUCCUGGUACAGAAUCAACACUCAGUAAACGGUAACUAUUUUCACUGCUGAAGCCCAGUAUGAUUCAGACGGAUUCCUGAGUAUUUUUAGGAGGAUCACAAUAGCAGUGAUUCUGACAUUUCGCUGUCGGCCUGGGUGCUGAUGCUCACAUCAGUUAUUCCACUAACCAGGAAGAGGGUAACGGUAGUGAAAGUGUCAUCACCAGCGGUGAGUUUGAUGAAAGAUGUUCAACAGCUGGCAUCCGGAGUUCUGCUUCCUCAUAACUGAGACAUCCCUCGAAUCAUUGCGGGUCACAGCUUCUCAGCUGUCGGCGCCCAGCAGUAGGUUCUCUGUGCCAACCCCAGCGGGCAGCGGGCAUGACGAGUGUGAGUGGGCGGGAGUGUUGGGCGACUUGCACGGGACGCUCAGAAGAAGUCACUCCCGAGACCACUCAGUCUACGUUCUGAAGGAGGCUUAGGACAGCGGGCUGCCCCCGACCAAAACCGCCCAGACAGCUGCACUCAUCGGUAUGGGUUUACGGUGUUCUUGCCGAGCGUCCGCACGCCCCACCACCAUCUCCAGAUGGAGACCCGAAACCACAACUUUAUUCACGGCCCACUGGUCGGCAAAACCUGACUGACCGAGGCUGCUGGAGGCCUUUCCCCCAACCCACCUGCCCAUUACGACUCUGCAAGUGCAUUAGUACACUUGGUUGUAUGAUGGUUCCCCAGGUCCUGUGUAAAAUGAUGUUUCUUUAAUAUACAGGGACACCUUUCUCGAGUCUGAUCGGUUCUAAGUUCCCAAACCCAUCUGGCUCCAAGGGUAUCGUACCAGCAGCGUGGCCCUGGGUAGCAGCCGCGAACCUCCUCCCUUGAGGGCGGAGACCGUCUUUCAUAUCUAUAUUCCCAAUACUCAAUAAAUAAAUGAAAAAUAAGUGAAUCAAUGAAUGAACUGCCAAGAUCAAUAAACUCAAUAAACGAAUACUUUCGUUUCCCAAACA